CAAACUGGCCCGUACCCUAAACCGACACAGGUGAAGGUAGAGUAUACCCAGGGGCGCGAGAUAACUCUCUCUAAGGAACUCGGCAAAAUGGCCCCGUAACUUCGGGAGAAGGGGUGCCACCGAGAGGUGGUCGCAGUGAAGAGUCCCAGGCGACUGUUUACCAAAAACACAGGUCUCCGCUAAGUCGCAAGACGAUGUAUGGGGGCUGACGCCUGCCCAGUGCCGGAAGGUUAAGGAAGUUGGUCAGGGAGCAAUCCUGAAGCUAGCGACUGAAGCCCCGGUGAACGGCGGCCGUAACUAUAACGGUCCUAAGGUAGCGAAAUUCCUUGUCGGGUAAGUUCCGACCCGCACGAAAGGCGUAACGAUCUGGGAGCUGUCUCGGAGAGAGGCUCGGCGAAAUAGGAAUGUCUGUGAAGAUACGGACUACCUGCACCCGGACAGAAAGACCCUAUGAAGCUUUACUGUAGCUUGGUAUUGGGUUCGGGCUUUGAUUGCGCAGGAUAGGUGGGAGACUAUGAGAUAGCUCUUGUGGGAGUUAUGGAGUCACUGGUGAGAUACCACUCUAUCAAGGCUAGAAUUCUAACUUUGACCCGUUAUCCGGGCAGAGAGCAGUAUCAGGUGGGCAGUUUGACUGGGGCGGUCGCCUCCUAAAUGGUAACGGAGGCGCGCAAAGGUUCCCUCAGGCUGGUUGGAAAUCAGCCAUUGAGUGUAAAGGCAUAAGGGAGCUUGACUGCGAGACUGACAAGUCGAGCAGGUACGAAAGUAGGCCUUAGUGAUCCGACGGUUCCGCGUGGAAGGGCCGUCGCUCAACGGAUAAAAGUUACUCUAGGAUAACAGGCUGAUCUCCCCCAAGAGUUCACAUCGACGGGGAGGUUUGGCACCUCGAUGUCGGCUCAUCGCAACCUAGGGCUGUAGUCGGUCCCAAGGGUUGGGCUGUUCGCCCAUUAAAGCGGUACGUGAGCUGGGUUCAGAACGUCGUGAGACAGUUCGGUCCAUAUCCGGUGCAGGCGUAGGAACACUGAGAGGAGUCUUCCUUAGUACGAGAGGACCGGGAAGAACGCACCGCUGGUGUACCUGUUAUCGUGCCAACGGUAAACGCAGGGUAGCCAAGUGCGGAGAGGAUAACCGCUGAAAGCAUCUAAGUGGGAAGCCCACCUCAAGAUGAGUGUUCCCAUGGCAAAAGCCAGUAAGGUCACGGGUAGACCACCCGUUAAUAGGCGCUAGAUGGAAGUCCAGCAAUGGAUGUAGUCGAGGCGUACUAACAGACCGAGGGCUUGACC
rnacentral:rRNA from 1 species